rnacentral:lncRNA from 1 species
GUGGUGCUUCUAUGUUGCACCAUUGUCUGGUGUUUGCGCUUCUACAAUUUUUUUUACCAUACACAUCUGCUCCAGUAAUGAAUAUGAGCCUCUUGUACUAAGAUUUUUUUCCACCAUACUCAUAUAUUUCUACCUGGAUUGUGUGCAAAAAAUCAAUUUCUAUCAAGAAAAUCAUUGACGUUUGGAGAGCUAAAAAUAGUUCAGGCCCUUGAGGUGCAUUCCCUGGGAUUGUUGGUAAGUACCUUUCUGUGUUUUAACGUUUUGCUGCAUUUCAACUGUAUAUGAUAAUUUAACCUAAUCGUUUCAUGAUGUUCUGAUGUUUCACGAUAUUGUGCAAAUCAAUGAUAUUUUCCACUACCUUUGCAUAUAUUAUUAUGAGCAACUUUGUAGCCUAUUAGAUGCGCCAAACGGUUUAAUGUUUAAUACUGCAGUUGUGCAGGUGUAGCAGCCAGUGGUUCUUUGCAUCAUUCUUCAAAAAGAAUGUGUGUGGCACGAACCGUGAAAAUAAUAAUUGUAGAAUGAAGACACCACUACUUAAACGAUGAAACCAUGUUUAAUACUGAUGGGACAUGAACCUAAUACCACUGCCUUCAUGUCUUGAUAUUUCUUGCUGGUAGAAGAUACAAGACUCAGCCAAAGGUUAAUAGACAAGAGCUGUAUCAAUGAUGCAUAGCUGCUAAUAUAACAUGCUUUAUAAAGCCAAUGUAAGCUAUCAUCAAGUGAUCUUAUAACUUUCUUUCCUUUGAGCUAUAAUGCUACCAUAUAAAAAAA